GGCAAGGUGGCCGAGUGGUUAAGGCGCAGCACUUGAAUUCUCGCAAUUUAAGUUAUGCUGUUCAUUCGUGAGCGUAGGUUCGAACCCUGCCCUUGUCG